AUACUUACCUGGACGGGGUCAAUGGUUGAUCAUGAAGACUCAUGGCCUAGGCUAGUGACCUCCAUUGCACUUCGGAGGGGUGCUCGCUUAAGAUCUCCUUAAGAGGGAGAGUCUACGACAUAAUUUGUUGCAGGGGUUUGCGUACCGCAGCCCCCAC